AGUAAAAGUCGUAACAAGGUCUCCGUUGGUGAACCAGCGGAGGGAUCAUUAAUGAGUUUUCUAAACUCCAAACCCUUGAGAACAUACCUAGUUGCCUCGGCGGACUUGCCCUGGGACGACCUACCCUGCAGCGAGUUACCCUGUAACGAGUUGCCCUGUAGAGACCUGCCCUGUAGCCUGCCCGCCGGCGGCCAACCUAAACUCUGUUUUAUUGUGGCACUUCUGAGGAUUAUUCUAAAUGAAUUAAAGCUUUCAACAACGGAUCUCUUGGUUCUGGCAUCGAUGAAGAACGCAGCGAAAUGCGAUAAGUAAUGUGAAUUGCAGAAUUCAGUGAAUCAUCGAAUCUUUGAACGCACAUUGCGCCCAUUAGUAUUCUAGUGGGCAUGCCUGUUCGAGCGUCAUUUCAACCAUCAAGCCCUAUUUGCUUGGCGUUGGGAGACUUGUAGGCCCGGCCUGCAAGCUCCUGAAAUAGAUCGGCGGAGUCGUGGCGACCCUCAGCGUAGUAAUUCUUCUCGCUUUAGGUGUCGGCGCUGGCGUUUAGCCGUUAAACCCCCUAUUUUUUUUAGUCUUGACCUCGGAUCAGGUAGGAAUACCCGCUGAACUUAAGCAUAUCAAUAAGCGGAGGAAAAGAAACCAACAGGGAUUGCCCCAGUAACG
rnacentral:rRNA from 1 species